UAUCUCUGUAGAGUCUGCAUAUCAAUAAGCGGAGGAAAAGAAACUAACAAGGAUUCCCUUAGUAACGGCGAGUGAAGCGGGAAGAGCUCAAAUUUGAAAUCUUCAAGGUUCUACCUUGACGAAUUGUAGUUUAAAGAAGUGUUUUCUGUUAGAUGAGUAGCAAAAGUUCCUUGGAAUGGGACAUCAUAGAGGGUGAGAAUCCUGUAUUUGGUUAUUCAUUCUAGCUUUGUGAUACACUUUCAAAGAGUCGGAUUGUUUGGGAAUGCAGUCCAAGAUGGGUGGUAAAUUUCAUCUAAAGCUAAAUAUUGGCGAGAGACCGAUAGCGAACAAGUACCGUGAGGGAAAGAUGAAAAGAACUUUGAAAAGAGAGUUAAACAGUACGUGAAAUUGUCAAAAGGGAAGCGUUUGACACCAGUGUUGUUUUUCCGAAAAUCAAUUACGAAUGGCUUGAUUUUGUGUUGUAUUGACCUUAUCAGCUUUCUUCACUUUUUUCGAGUCUUUCUUAAUGCACUUUUCGGUUAACAAGUCAACAUCAAUUUCUUUUGUUGUAAAAGAGUAUUCGGAAGGUGGCUUUCUUUUCGGAGAAAGUGUUUAUAGCCCUAUACUUCUACAAUCGGAGAGAUUGAGGUCUGCAGCGUAGAUCCUUCGGGGUUAGAUACACUUGUGCUAAGUUGUAGCUUUUCAUAGACAACUUGUUGACUAUGUUUGGUCAUGCGGCUUACUCGCUUGUGCUAUUUUACCUACGCUUAGGAUGUUGACUGAUAUGUAGUCGUA
rnacentral:rRNA from 1 species